GGCAGGAGGGCUGUGCCAGGUUG
rnacentral:miRNA from 1 species